ACUUUAGUUUCACUUUGUGUGCUCGUCGUCGUGUCGCAGCUUCUUGUCUCCAUCUAAAGAUGAAGGUAGAAAGUCUCUGGGAGCUGAUGGGAUUGAUUUUGGAUGAUGUGACGAGCACAUUGGAACAUUUGAAAUGUUGAAGAGCUUUUCAGAGUCGCUCAAACACAAGUGAAAAGUGAGGUCAUCCCCAAAGACAGACAAAGACAAAGCAACAUGAAGUGUGUCCCUGUGGUGUAGAAGAGGACACAUUAUGAACUCUAACAGAGGCUGAGAAAACCUUCUUCUUCCUUCACAUCAUUUCACUCACUGUUGUUCUCUCUCUCAUGGAGUCUCUGUCCAUAAAUGUGCUGCCAUGUGUGAAUGAAGCUGUAAGAAACAUCAGCGUAAACGUCUCCUCUGUCUCAAUGAGCAAAUAUCACUUUAACAAAUCCAUGACGGCAGCAGUGUCACAUAUUUCCUGUCUGAAGAGGGCUUAAAAGAGCCAGUCUGCCUCCAGUCUGAGUCCUGAUGGAGCACAUGGUCCCACUCAGAUCAACAGAAAACUCUUUGUGUCCACAGACCUGGUCCAGACAGCAGAGAGCUGCAGAGUGAUGAAGUCCAUGAGAAGAAACUGAGAGGCUGCAGGUUAUCACCAACAUGAAAAGGAUCCAUCAGAGACCAGACUCACCUGGACCAGAACCUGAACCUGACCCUGACCCCAGCUGUGCGUCCCCCAAGUCUGACCUGUCACAUGAACAUGGCAUCGAUGUUAAAAGACGAAAAGACUCUGC